ensembl:rRNA 5S_rRNA 5S ribosomal RNA
GUCUACAACCAUACCACCCUGAAUGUGCCCGAUCUCAUCUGAUUGUGGAAGCUUGGCAUGGUCGGUUCUGGUUAGUACUUGGAUGGGAGAAUGGGUGCUUCCCAGCCAUCCUGUCCUCUUAGCUCCUGUAGGCA